GCUUUUUCUCUGAUGAUUUAUCGCGUCUUCUCUCUGUAAUUAAAGUCUCAAACCUUCACGGCUUAGUUUGAUGUUUACUGCUGUUUAUGCUCACUUAUUUUGAUUUGUGUGUUUCUUAUUGUUGAUGGUUAUUCUGGUCUGACUUAUAUUUUCUUUUUAGGACAAUACAAAAAUUACAGGUGAAGCCGUGAUCAUUGUCCAUAAUAGCCGACAGAGAUGUGGUAGUGAUUUCAGUUCAUCUAGGUCUAGAGCAACGAUGGAGUUAGUGAUUCAGUGUGAAUUUGGUUUCUAUUUUUCAAAGCUUUGGUUUUAGCGACAUUUGGGAACUGAAUUUUGAUUUGGAUUUAGAAUUAUAAUUGGGUUUGAGUGAGCUUUCUUUAUUAUUGAUCCUUGUAAAUGAGUUGGGGAC
rnacentral:lncRNA from 1 species